GGGAAUUUACUAUAUCAGUGUCCUGACUGGAACAUUACUGAUGCUUCUCAUGUUUCUUUGUAUGUAUAUAAAUAUUAUGACAUCAAAGGAAAUGAUUAUAUGUGCAAAUUGGGUAUCUCUUUCUUAAAAUUUUAGAUCAGCUGGAACUAUACUCAACUGAACCAGCAAAAUCUAAAACAAAUGAAACACCAUUUACAAGAAAGCACUUAAGAAAAUCUAUGUAUGACAAGCAAUUUUUUUCAACCCAUAUUGCUCAUCUAUGAUUCUAAGAUAUAUGUGUUGUAUUUACAAAUGUGUUCCUAUUGAAAUUCAUACUUGAAUUGCUUGUCUAUUCAGAAU
rnacentral:lncRNA from 1 species